GAGGGUAUAGCUCAGUGGUAGAGUGCGUGCUUAGCAUGCAUCGAGGUCCUGGGCUCAAUUCCCAUUACCUCCA
rfam:Camelus ferus unplaced genomic scaffold scaffold1374, whole genome shotgun sequence.